GCAUGGAAGACCAAUCUUGUAGUUCACUUUUUCCCACAAGGCCAUAGCAGAACAGAAAGGUCGUAAAACCCUUCGGAAUUGGCAAGUUGGAUUUUUCUUCUCAAAUUCUUGAAUCUUGAUUACAAAUAUCCUCUUACCAACCUAACUUGCAUUUUGAAGUUGGCUUUUUCUAUUAUGGUUUUUUAGGCCUCUACAACUCUAUUUUUAUUUUUAUUUUGGGCUUGUUUCCUCUUUUUUACAUCAUUUCAUGGCAUGACAGCUGUCUUGAUUUUGCUCUAGGUAUAUAUAGUGUUUUGUUAGAUCUAUUACGCUUAGGCUUUUACCGAAGAUUUCUACUUCUACGACACGGUUUCAAAUGAGGUGCAAUAUUUGCAUAUAAAAGAACGUUUAAAAGGAAAACGAAGGCCUUAAAAUACUUAUAACAUUUGCUCUUAUCACUAGAAAAUAGCCAUUUGCUCUUAUCACUUUAAUGUUAGACGAACGAUAUAUGUACUUGCAUCUCAACUGACUCAAAGUUUGCGAACCUAAGCAUUGCGGUAUAUGGGCUAUACCCGUGCAUGUUAGGCCCGCCAAGGCCAACCACCACCUCGUCAAUUGCAUUUCGGUUCACUCCAACGCCUGUAACCGAUUCUAAAGGGACAAGAAGCACGUCCGAUAACCUUCGCAUUUGUCCAGAAAAGACUACAAGAGGAGAUAUCGACCCUAACGAUUGAAUUUGUUAAAGGACUAACCAGAUGAUAUGACCUACCGAUUAUUUUGAGUAUUUGAACCUUGUUUCUGUAUUUUAUGCUUUUUAUAUGUGUAUUUAAUAAUUUGUGACUUGCGGAGAUUGGUGAUUUUAUUUUUUGG
rnacentral:lncRNA from 1 species